CGGCGGGCGAGGGUGUAGUGGGGUCUUGCUGGGCCGGUUUUGGAGGCCUGGAGUCAAGGGGCGAGCUCGCCAGGGAGGGCGAGGGUCACAGCAAGUCUCAGGAUCCUCCUCUGCCAGCUUCUGGGUGGUCCUUCCUCCUCCAGGGACUCACUGAUUCCGGCUAUCGCCCUUCGUCUGUAGCCGCGUCCCCUCAGACUGGUUCAGUCCGGGGUCUUCUGACUUGGAAGCUCGUGCUGAUUUCCUAAGUCAGCCCCUCCUGUCCUCUUGGAUCCAAUUCCUGUAUCUUCACCUUGUCUACCGGGAUUUCUAGAGCAGCCUUGUGAGAGACAUUUCUGAGACCUGUAUGUCCUGUGUCUAUGAUUCUUCCCUGAUCAAGCUUUCUUGGGAGGCAACCGCCACUGCACAUUUCCUGUGGGGAUUUGAUCUUAAAAAACAAAAGAUUUAGAUCCAUGUGGACAGAAACUUUUGGCAAGAAAUAAUGGCGGCAGCUACGGGGGAUCCUGGACUCUCUAAACUGCAGUUUGCCCCCUUUAGUAGUGCCUUGGAUGUUGGGUUUUGGCAUGAGUUGACCCAGAAGAAGCUGAACGAGUAUCGGCUGGAUGAAGCUCCCAAGGACAUUAAGGGUUAUUACUACAAUGGUGACUCUGCUGGGCUGCCAGCUCGCUUAACAUUGGAGUUCAGUGCUUUUGACAUCGUUCCCUGUGGGCAUGUGAAGCUGUGUGCGAAGUAGAUUCCUCCA
rnacentral:sRNA from 1 species